rnacentral:rRNA from 1 species
UACGAGGGGGGCGAGCGUUGUUCGGAAUUAUUGGGCGUAAAGGGUGCGUAGGCGGUUCCGCAAGUCCUGUGUGAAAUCUUCGGGCUCAACUCGAAGUCUGCACGGGAAACUGUGGGGCUUGAGUGUGGGAGAGGUGAGUGGAAUUCCCGGUGUAGCUGGUGAAAUGCGUAGAUAUCGGGAGGAACACCAGUGGCGAAAGGC